UACGUAGGGGGCAAGCGUUGUCCGGAUUCAUUGGGCGUAAAGAGCGUGUAGGCGGCCAGGUAGGUCGGUUGUGAAAACUGGAGGCUCAACCUUCAGAGGUCGACCGAAACCAUCUGGCUAGAGUCCGGGAGAGGAGAGUGGAAUUCCUGGUGUAGCGGUGAAAUGCGCAGAUAUCAGGAAGAACACCCGUGGCGAAAGCGGCUCGCUGGAACGGUACUGACGCUGAGACGCGAAAGCGUGGGGAGCGAACAGG
rnacentral:rRNA from 1 species